UCUCCGUUGGUGAACCAGCGGAGGGAUCAUUACCGAGUUUACAACUCCCAAACCCCUGUGAACAUACCAUUUGUUGCCUCGGCGGUGCCUGCUUCGGCAGCCCGCCAGAGGACCCAAACCCUUGAUUUUAUACAGUACCUUCUGAGUAAAUGAUUAAAUAAAUCAAAACUUUCAACAACGGAUCUCUUGGUUCUG
rnacentral:misc_RNA from 1 species